rnacentral:lncRNA from 1 species
AGUGCUCUCGUUGAUUGCUUCAGUUUCCUUGGCUUCAGUGUCCUUCACCGCUUCUGCCGGCAUGUCACUCACUGAUGUGUUUUCUUCCACCUCAACAGGUUCAACAUUCUCAAUCUCUUCUAGUUCUGGCUCUUGUGCUCGCGGAAUAUCAACCGUUGCCUCAGUUGCUGUUACAUGCUCUUCAGGAGCUGCCUCGUCUACAUGAGUAACAUUGCUUGUCACAUCGCCAGUGAGCUCGCUGAUGUUUGCAUCAGUGCUCUCGUUAAUUGCUUCAGUUUCCUUCACCUCUUCCGCUGGCAGGUCACAUGCUGAUCUGUUUUCUUUCACCUCAUCAGGUUCAACUCUCAUGAGCUCUUGUAGUUCUGAUACUAGUGCUUGUGGUAUAUCAACUGCUGCCUCAGCUGCUAUUACAUGCUCUUCUGGAGCUGCCUCAUCUGCACGAGUAACAUUACUUUUCACAUCCUCAGUGAGUUCACUGAUGUUUGCAUCAGCGCUCUCGGUUAUUGCUUCUGUUUCUUUGGCUUCAGGGUCCUUCACCUCUUCUGCCGGCUGAUCACUUACUGAUAUGUUUUCUUCCACUUCAACAGUUUCAGUAUUCUUGAUUUCUUCUAGUUCUGGAUCUUGUGCUUGUGGUAUGUCAACUGUUGCCUCAGUUGCUAUCACAUGUUCUUCAGGAGCUGCCUCGUCUGCAGGAGCAACAUUAGUUUUGACAUCCUCAGUGAGCUCACUGAUGUUCGCAUCAGUGCUCUCAUUGAUUGCUUCAGUGUCUUUCACCUUUUCUGCCUGCAUGUCACUUGCUGACAUGUUUUCUUCCACAUCAACAGGUUCAGUAUUCUUGAUCUCUUCUAGUUCCGGCUCCUGUGGUUGUGGUAUAUCAACUGCUGUCUCAGCUACUGUUACAUGCUCUUCAUGAGGUUCCUCGUCUGCAAGAGCAACAUUGCAUUUCACCUCCUCUGUGAGCUCGCUGAUGUUUGCAUCAGCACUCUCGUUGAUUGCUUCAGUGUCCUUCACCUCUUCUGCUGGCAGGUCACUUGCUGAUAUGUUCUCUUCUACUUCAACAGGUUCAGUAUUCUUCAUCUCUUCUACUUCUGGCUCUUGUGCUUGUGGCAUAUCAACUGUAUUAUCAGCUACUGUUACUUGUUCUUCUUGAGCGGCCUCGCCUGGAAGAGCAACAUUGUUUUUCACAUCUUCAGGGAGCUCACUGUUGUUUGCAUCAGUGCUCUCGUUGAUUGCUUCAGUCUCCACGGCUUCAGUAUCCUUCACCUCUUCUGCUGGCAGAUCAUUUGCUGAUAUGUUUUCUUCUACUUCAGCAGGUUCAGUACUCUUGGUCUCUUCUAGUUCUGGCUCUUGUGCUUCUGGUAUAUCAACCGUUGCCUCAGUUGCUAUUACAUGCUCUUCAGGAGCUGCCUCGUCCGCAGGAGCAACAUUGCUUGUCACAUCCUCAGUGAGCUCGCUAAUGUUUGCAUCAGGGCUCUCAUUGAUUGCUUCAGUUUCCCUCACCUCUUCUGCUUGCAGGUAACGUGCUGAUCUAUUUUCUUCCACCUCAACAGGUUCAGUAUUCUUGAUCUCUUCUAGUUCUGGCUCCUGGGUUUGUGGUAUGUCAACUGUUCUCUCAGCUACUGUUACCUGCUCUGCAUGAGGUUCCUCGUCUGCAAGAGCAACAUUGCUUUUUACAUCCUCAUUGAGCUCGCUGAUGAUUGCAUCAGUCCUUUCGCUGAUUGCUUCAGUUUCCUUGGGUUCAAUUUCCUUGACCUCUUCUGCUGACAGGUCACCGGCUUCAGUAUUCUUGAUCUCUUCUAGCUCCGGCUCUUGUGCUUGUGGUAUAUCGACUGUUGUCUCAGCUACUGUUACAUGUUCUUCAUGAGCUGCCUCAUCUAUAAGAGCAACAUUCCUUUUCAUAUCUUCAGUGAGCUCACUGAUGUUUGCAUCAGUGCUCUUGUUGAUUGCUUCAGUUUCCUUGGGUUCAGUGUCCUUCAGCUCUUCUGCCGGCAUGUCAUUAGCUGAUGUGUUUUCUUCCACCUCAACAGGUUCAACAUUCUCAAUCUCUUCUAGUUCUGGCUCUUGUGCUCGCGGAAUAUCAACCGUUGCCUCAGUUGCUGUUACAUGCUCUUCAGGAGCUGCCUCGUCUACAUGAGUAACAUUGCUUGUC